GACGAACGCUGGCGGCGUGCUUAACACAUGCAAGUCGAACGGAAAGGCCCUGCUUUUGUGGGGUGCUCGAGUGGCGAACGGGUGAGUAACACGUGAGUAACCUGCCCUUGACUUUGGGAUAACUUUAGGAAACUGGGGCUAAUACCGGAUAGGAGCUCCUGCUGCAUGGUGGGGGUUGGAAAGUUUCGGCGGUUGGGGAUGGACUCGCGGCUUAUCAGCUUGUUGGUGGGGUAGUGGCUUACCAAGGCUUUGACGGAUAGCCGGCCUGAGAGGGUGACCGGCCACAUUGGGACUGAGAUACGGCCCAGACUCCUACGGGAGGCAGCAGUGGGGAAUAUUGCACAAUGGGCGGAAGCCUGAUGCAGCAACGCCGCGUGCGGGAUGACGGCCUUCGGGUUGUAAACCGCUUUCGCCUGUGACGAAGCGUGAGUGACGGUAAUGGGUAAAGAAGCACCGGCUAACUACGUG
rnacentral:rRNA from 1 species